AUUGAACGCUGGCGGCAGGCCUAACACAUGCAAGCCGAGCGGAUGAGGGGAGCUUGCUCCUUGAUUCAGCGGCGGACGGGUGAGUAAUGCCUAGGAAUCUGCCUGGUAGAGGGGGAUAACGUUCCGAAAGGAACGCUAAUACCGCAGACGUCCUACGGGAGAAAGCAGGGGACCUUCGGGCCUCGCGCUAUCAGAUGAGCCUAGGUCGGAUUAGCUAGUUGGUGAGGUAAUGGCUCACCAAGGCGACGAUCCGUAACUGGUCUGAGAGGAUGCUCAGUCACACUGGAACUGAGACACGGUCCAGACUCCUACGGGAGGCAGCAGUGGGGAAUAUUGGACAAUGGGCGAAAGCCUGAUCCAGCCAUGCCGCGUGUGUGAAGAAGGUCUUCGGAUUGUAAAGCACUUUAAGUUGGGAGGAAGGGCAGUAAGUUAAUACCUUGCUGUUUUGACGUUACCGACAGAAUAAGCACCGGCUAACUCUGUGCCAGCAGCCGCCGUAA
rnacentral:rRNA from 1 species